rnacentral:sRNA from 1 species
AACGAAUCUUGCGCUCCCGGGAUAUGCCUGGGAGCAUGCUUGUCGGGGAGGAGGAGGCGAAAACUCGCCCACAGCUUUGGGUUCGAUCUCGACCUCAAGGCGGUGGAGCGGAAUAUGAGUGUUCCGGGGAGCGGUAGUGCGGUGUGUAUUUUUGUACAUGCCUCCUGCUCGUCCCCUGAGUCCACCCAAGCCUAGAGAGCUACCGAUUGUCCGGGCCUCAUUGCCUUUGCGGCGCUGUAGACAGGUCCACCUUGCGUCCUCCGGAAGAUCCGCUGUUGAUACCUUCGCAACCUCGCCCCCUCUCGCGGGGCGGGGCAGGGCGAAGGAGACACUGACGCCGGGGAUGUGCGCGGGUUACCUUGAGGCGUCGCAGGAGGCAAGUUCACCUUGCGUCCUCCGGAGGAUCCGUUGUUGACGGCGCCCCCUAUCGCGGGGCGGGGACACAACGGGUCGCCGGGGAUGUGCGCGGGUGUCCUUGAGGCUUGGGACGGUAGGUAGUCUCGAGAGUACCGGUGAGAGGCCGGUGAUUAUGAUUAUGCCAUACCCCCGAUCAAGCAAGAAGACCCGCUGAAUUUAAGCAUAUACUA